GACGAACGCUGGCGGCGUGCUUAACACAUGCAAGUCGAACGGUAAGGCCCUUCGGGGUACACGAGUGGCGAACGGGUGAGUAACACGUGGGUGCUCUGCCCUGCACUUCGGGAUAAGCCUGGGAAACUGGGUCUAAUACCGGAUAGGACCACUGCCUGCAUGGGUGGUGGUUGAAAGCUGUUGCGGUGUGGGAUGGGCCCGCGGCCUAUCAGCUUGUGGGUGGGGUGAUGGCCUACCAAGGCGACGACGGGGGGCCGGCCUGGGAGGGUGACCGGCCACACUGGGACUGAGAUACGGCCCAGACUCCUACGGGAGGCAGCAGUGGGGAAUAUUGCACAAUGGGCGCAAGCCUGAUGCAGCGACGCCGCGUGAGGGAUGACGGCCUUCGGGUUGUAAACCUCUUUCAGCACCGACGAAGCGCAAGUGACGGUAGGUGCAGAAGAAGGACCGGCCAACUACGUGCCAGCCGCCGCCGUAA
rnacentral:rRNA from 1 species